GUAACUAGGAGGCCACGUUGGCGGGUAUGUCAAGCCAUGUUGGCAUUGCCAUUGGUAGCCUGGAGGGGGAAGCACAGCAGACAGAAUUCCAGAAGACAGAACUGGGCCAUCGUGUCCCGAAGGACACCCUUGCAUUCUGUUGCAAGCCCAGAAACAACCUGUUGGAAAAUGAAGUAUUUUCAAGAAAUCAACACUGGAUCCUUCAGAAGACAACGCAGAAGUGUGGUGGAAAAAACAAAGAACUGCUGUGCCGUUGUCUUUUACUUCUCUUUAAUGUCGGGUUCAGAAGUAAUGAUGGAAAGGGAAGGUGAGACAGGGCGAGGAGAGAGAAGAG